UGGGGAAUAUUGCACAAUGGGCGAAAGCCUGAUGCAGCAACGCCGCGUGAAGGAAGAAGGCCUUCGGGUCGUAAACUUCUGUCCUUGGGGAAGAAGAACUGACGGUACCGAAGGAGGAAGCCCCGGCUAACUACGUGCC
rnacentral:rRNA from 1 species